UGAUGCGUGACACGCCUCUCAAAGUACAGCGCAUGAUGUGAUUCUAAUGACAAAUGUGUAGCCAUAAUUGCUGGAAAUGUUGGAUGGAGGAGGAGAUGAUUAAGCAAUUAAAACUUGGCUUAACCACUCACAUGUGCUCCGCACGUGCGUCCAACCAUCCAUCCAUCUUAUACGAUCAUGUGAGAUAGUGAUCCAAGAGUUACUUAAUCGAAUAGGAUAAAUGCGAGUAUCAAAAGGCAAGAAAAGGAAAAAUCCGACCCGUUUAGGCUCCUUCCCGUCGAAUUGGAUUCCGGGAUGGCGUCCGCUGUCCCGUGUUGGGGAGACUCCGGUCUUCGCUCAGGCUUUCGGCGGCUCUUUGAGGUCGUCUAUUUCGAUUCCCUUUGAUCCUUGUCUCCUCGUCCUUGUUGGGUUGUGUGUCUCGAUUUGGAGGAAGGGGAUCCGAGAGGCCGCGAGGAGAAACUGGAAGCGGGGGAUUCGCAACGAAAGAGAAAACUUGAAGGAGCUGAAGCUACAGAUUACCUCCUCCUGCUGUUGCUAGUGUUCCAUUCAGUACCAGAAUCCGAGGUUCGUCAAGUCCUGCCGCCGCUGUCCUCUUGCAGAUUGAUAGAACAUGGACGGCACAGCUUAGCCAUCUCUUGACUCGGAUCGCCCCUUCGGAGCUCUCCACAGCUCAAGGCAUUGGUACUCCUGGUGAAGGAUCCUGAGAUCUCCCUGAUGAGAACCUCAACCUGCUCGUGCCGACCACCAACUUCCGAACCUGGCAAGAUGGCUUUCAGCUGCGACGCCAGUUCGUGCAUGACUCUUCCGUUCAUGUCCCGGAAACCCAUCCAUAGACGAGAAAGCCUCAGUUGACUCCUCUCAUAGAUUCUAACAUGGGGGGUAUCAAUCAAUGUAGGACACGAGGUGAUGGAAUCAAAGGGCGCCAAAGUUUCGUCAGCCACUGUGACAACACAACAGCACUGGCGCCUGGUUGAAGAUGGAUAACAUGGAAGCUGAACCGAGAGUUCACGUGGCGAACUGUUCUUUAGUGUCAGUCGAGCUUAAUAAGCAGCAACUCCGAGUGAUGUUUGAAUUGCUUGUGAAGCAUAACUCGAUGGAAAAGUAGAAUUGUAAUUCAUUACAAACGAAGCCAUAAGGGUAGCUAUAAAGAAUGCGUAUCCUUUCUACA